rnacentral:rRNA from 1 species
AGUGAACGCUGGCGGCAGGCCUAACACAUGCAAGUCGAGCGGCAGCGCAGCAGUAGCAAUACUGUGGGCGGCGAGCGGCGGACGGGUGAGGAACACAUCGGAAUCUGCCUUGUCGUGGGGGAUAACGUAGGGAAACUUACGCUAAUACCGCAUACGACCUACGGGUGAAAGCGGCGGACCGCAAGGCGUCGCGCGAUUGGAUGAGCCGAUGUCCGAUUAGCUAGUUGGCGGGGUAAAGGCCCACCAAGGCGACGAUCGGUAGCUGGUCUGAGAGGACGACCAGCCACACUGGAACUGAGACACGGUCCAGACUCCUACGGGAGGCAGCAGUGGGGAAUAUUGGACAAUGGGCGCAAGCCUGAUCCAGCCAUGCCGCGUGGGUGAAGAAGGCCUUCGGGUUGUAAAGCCCUUUUGUCCGGAAAGAAAACCUGUCGGUUAAUACCCGGCGGGGAUGACGGUACCGGAAGAAUAAGCACCGGCUAACUUCGUGCCAGCAGCCGCAGUAACAC